rfam:Ovis aries breed Texel chromosome 2, whole genome shotgun sequence.
UCCCUGGUGGCUCAGAUGGUAAAGUGUCUGUCUGCAAUGCAGGAGACCCAGGUUCGAUCCCUGGGUUGGGAA